rnacentral:rRNA from 1 species
UACAGAGGUCUCAAGCGUUGUUCGGAUUCAUUGGGCGUAAAGGGUUCGUAGGCGGCGUGGUAAGUCGGAUGUGAAAUCUCGGGGCUUAACUCCGGAACUGCAUUCGAUACUGCCGUGCUUGAGGACUGGAGAGGAGACUGGAAUUUACGGUGUAGCGGUGAAAUGCGUAGAUAUCGUAAGGAAGACCAGUGGCGAAGGCGGGUCUCUGGACAGUUCCUGACGCUGAGGCACGAAGGCCAGGGGAGCAAACGGG